UACGUAGGGGCUAGCGUUGUCCGGAAUCAUUGGGCGUAAAGCGCGCGUAGGCGGCCCGGUAAGUCCGCUGUGAAAGUCAAAGGCUCAACCUUUGAAUGUCAGCGGAUACUGCCGGGCUAGAGUCCGGAAGAGGCGAGUGGAACUCCUGGUGUAGCGGUGGAAUGCGCAGAUAUCAGGAAGAACACCAACGGCGAAGGCAGCUCGCUGGGACGGUACUGACGCUGAGACGCGAAAGCGUGGGGAGCAAACAGG
rnacentral:rRNA from 1 species